rnacentral:rRNA from 1 species
GAUGAACGCUAGCUACAGGCUUAACACAUGCAAGUCGAGGGACCGGCGCACGGGUGAGUAACACGUAUCCAACCUGCCCUUUACUAGGCGAUAGCCUUUCGAAAGAAAGAUUAAUACCCGAUGUAACGGAUGGGGAUGCGUUCCAUUAGGUGGUUGGUGAGGUAACGGCUCACCAAGCCUUCGAUGGAUAGGGGUUCUGAGAGGAAGGUCCCCCACAUUGGAACUGAGACACGGUCCAAACUCCUACGGGAGGCAGCAGUGAGGAAUAUUGGUCAAUGGGCGUUAGCCGGAACCAGCCAAGUAGCGUGAGGGAGGAAGGCUUAUGGGUCGUAAACUUCUUUUAUAUAAGAAUAUGUAUUAUAUGAAUAAGGAUCGGCUAACUCCGUGCCAGCAGCCGCGGUAAUUC